UACGGAGGGGGCUAGCGUUAUUCGGAAUUACUGGGCGUAAAGCGCACGUAGGCGGCUUUGUAAGUCAGAGGUGAAAGCCUGGAGCUUAACUCCAGAACUGCCUUUGAGACUGCAUCUCUCGAAUCCGGGAGAGGUGAGUGGAAUUCGGAGUGUAGAGGUGAAAUUCGUAGAUAUUCGGAAGAACACCAGUGGCGAAGGCGGCUCACUGGACCGGUAUUGACGCUGAGGUGCGAAAGCGUGGGGAUCAAACAGG
rnacentral:rRNA from 1 species